rfam:Cricetulus griseus cell line CHO-K1, whole genome shotgun sequence.
UGCAGUCAAGUCAAAUUCAGUCCCUGUCCUGUCAUGGCAGGAACUGGCCCAGAUGGCUGCCACAACAAGUCCUGCUGCUCAUGGGCCCUGGGUCCCCUGUCCUGGGACCUAGGGAUAAGUUUAGCUGCAGACAUUG